CACAACCAUCUUUCCAGCGUCCCUUCAUUACGACGCCAUCUCUCUCCCCAUGGAAAGAAAAUCCACGAUUCUACCGUCCCUUCCUUUCUAUUCUUUCGCUCAUAUUGCAAGAAAAAAGUGAUGCAUCGAUCUGGCAUGGUCGAGGGUUUACGUAGAUCAGGUGCUCGAAUCUACUCCUACAAACCACAACGAACCUAAUUUUUUGGAAAAUCUCCAAUUUCUGAUUGAGAUGCUACCCGCCAGGCUUCCCUUCAAAUCUUCGGUUGUUCUUGACGAGCAGAUCAGUCCAUCUAGCCAAGGUUCAUGUCAGCGGAAUACUGCAUGGUCCAGCCAUGAGCCAUCAGAACAGCUAACCCAAUUUGCACCCCGUGAAAACUGAUGGAAGAUCGAUCCCUAUAUCCGACAUUCAUGUGUGCGGUCAUGUCAAUGUUGCAGACAGAGUACGUCCACGCUGAAGACCCAACCACAACCACACACAGACACACCCUUGGUUCUAAACGGUUUGUUUUUUCUUAUUAUUGCUUCAUAUGUUGAAUUGUGAUCAGUUUUAUAUACACAUCUCUGAUUGCCCAUCACGUCUGAACACGAUUGUGUACCCCGAUUAAGUUCACCUGGAUAUGUUUGAAUGAAUUCCAAUUGGUUUAUUUUACGACUGCAAAAUGAUUCCCCGAUGGUCGAUAUGGAUGCACCUGACACUAUGUCAACAAGCAUGUAAACUCAUUUGUGAUGACACUGCUGGGGAUGAGGAUUUAAUCAGCUGUAUGCAAGCGCGAGCAUUUUGUCAGGGGAGACAAACUAAACUAUGAAAAAGUGCAUGCAGCCAACGUCAUUAGCUGCAGCCUUUACCAAAUAAUUCUGAGCGGCCAAAUCUGAUGCGUCAAUCAGCACAACGAGGUAAAGAUAAUUAUAUCUUAAUUAGAUGGCUGCAGGCCCUUGAGAGAUGGUGAGGCUGCAUUAAGCCGGGGUGGAAACUUGAUGACUCAGUCUGAUGCAUAUAUACAAGUUCACCUGUAUGAUGUUACUUCUAGGAACUAAUGAUUCUAAUAAUAUCUUCCAAAGUUUUUGGUA